rnacentral:rRNA from 1 species
AGGGCACCACCAGGAGUGGAGCCUGCGGCUUAAUUUGACUCAACACGGGGAAACUCACCCGGCCCGGACACUGGAAGGAUUGACAGAUUGAGAGCUCUUUCUUGAUUCAGUGGGUGGUGGUGCAUGGCCGUUCUUAGUUGGUGGAGCGAUUUGUCUGGUUAAUUCCGAUAACGAACGAGACUCUAGCCUAUUAAAUAGGCUGCCGGCUUUUAAACCCCGAUCGGACUUCAGGUUGACUUCGGUGGGCUUGUUCCCCUCUGAAGAAGAAGGAAAUGCUGUUUGUAAGGACAUGUGGUGGUUCGGGCCGCACAAACACAACAAUAAAAAGAUUGUGAUGCUUUAAGUUCCUGCGGGCCGGGAGUGGCUAAACUGAAGAAAUCUCCUCGCGUGUAUAAUAUGCUAUUCAACUAUUCUGGCUAAACCAGAAUUCUUCUUCGUGCAAGUCAUAAUCAUUUUUUUAUUUCGUCUUGCCCUUUAAUUCAAGUAAGCUCAUGUCUUAAGCAUGAAUUACUUAAUUCG